rnacentral:rRNA from 1 species
GACGAACGCUGGCGGCGUGCUUAACACAUGCAAGUCGAACGGAAAGGCCCUGCUUGCAGGGUACUCGAGUGGCGAACGGGUGAGUAACACGUGGGUGAUCUGCCCUGCACUUCGGGAUAAGCCUGGGAAACUGGGUCUAAUACCGGAUAGGAGCCACUUUUAGUGUGAUGGUUGGAAAGUUUUUUCGGUGUAGGAUGAGCGCGCGGCCUAUCAGCUUGUUGGUGGGGUAAUGGCCUACAAAGGAGGCGACGGGUAGCCGGCCUGAGAGGGUGGAAGGACAAAUGGGGAAUGAGACAAGGCACAGAAGACGACGGGAGGAAGCAGGGGGGAAUAUGGCGAAAGGGGCGGAAGCAUGAUGCAGCGACGCCGGGUGAGGGAUGAAGGACUUCGGGUUGUAAACAUCUUUCAGUAGGGAAGAAGAGAAAGUGACGGUACCUGCAGAAGAAGAACCGGCUAACUAAGUG